rnacentral:lncRNA from 1 species
AAAUCAUUCUGGAAAUGAAGCCUUGUGCUAUUAGCAAACUAAAUUAAAAUAUAAAACUUAAUUACAGCAGCAUAAAAAAUUAGAAAGAGAAAUUAUAACAAAUUAAACAUGCAAUUUAUCUGACUGUAAUGUGAGUGUGUGUGUUGACUGUAAUGUGUGUGUGUAUGUGUAGCAAUUUAUCUGACUGUAAUAUGUGUGUGUGUGUGUAUAUAUCUGUGUGUGCGCGCGCGUACUGUAUUAGCUGCAACUGAAAUAGGCAGUAUUGGCAUCACUAGAUGAUCGGGAGCACGUAUCUCGGGCAGUGGUCAUCGAGGACGACGAAGGAUGCGGCGGCAGCGGAGACAGUAGCCAGACAGCCGGCUUUCGAGCUGGUAGGGACGGCAGCGGUGCCGUGCCGCGCAGCAUUCUGAUGG